AGGGGCGUAGCUCAGUUGGUAGAGCACCGGUCUCCAAAAUCGGGUGUCGCGAGUUCGAGUCUCUCCGCCCCUGCCA
rnacentral:tRNA from 1 species